rnacentral:misc_RNA from 1 species
UUUGUUACUUAAUUAUGUACUUUAUUAAGGAAAGAUAAACUUGUUUUGAACCUCUAGAAAUUUACAAAUAUGCUGUUAGCAAAAAUUCAAUAAUUUGUACCUAAACCAAUGUAAUUAAGCUGAUAGGGAAUUCUUUUCCCCGUUGCCUGGAACUACAUUUGUUUCAUUUUGUGUCACUGAUAACAUACUCAGCAGCCCUGUACCGAGGGGAGAGGCCAACCACCACCCAUUUUCUGAGUUGUGCAAUGUCAGGCAUUACUGCCUUAAACUGCUUUUACAACUUGGUCAUGUUGAUUAUGCAGAGUCCAGUCACAGCUCUGGGAAGCAAACACGAAUCUCGAUCAUAGCUGUCUGUAUAUUGGUUGUCGUAGCUUGUUUCCUUGGUCUAUUCCUGCUGAACCGAAGGGACGAUUAGUCAGUGGAUAUCACCUUCUUAGCAACAUCAGCAAAUCAAAUGCAGAGAACUAGAUUGGAUGGUUCUGUGCCCCCCCAGUUGUGCAUUUAAUUUAUAGUGAAGACUAGAACUCUGUAGCUGCUAGGGUUCCGGCUUGGCUUGUGUCUCGUCUUUCCCCUUUUUAUCACUAGGAUUUUAGAUUUUUAUUUUUAAUAGGAUUUUUUUAGGG